AAGUGGGAAAAGCAAAGAUGAACAAUUUCCAGUUGCCUCAGCAUGAAGUCUUUAAUGAUGAAGAUGAGGACAGAUUAUCUGAGAUCUCUGCUCGCUCUGCAGCUUCUAGUCUCCGGGCUUUUCAAACUCUGGCACGAGCUCAGAAAAGGAAGGAGAAUUUCUGGGGCAAAACAUAAUUAAAUAUCUAUCUAGUUGAGUUGCUUAACAAUCUAGGGCACCAUUGGCAUAAUUUUUCUUUAUUGCUUUACUGUGUUGAGAUUUUUCAAGUGUUUGGAUUUUUUUCCCCAACAUUUCCUACUUAAAAAGAAUUGGUUGACUUUUCAAUAGCCAUUUCAGUUUACUUGGAAAAUUUUAACACAGGUUCAUACAAAUUCAACUUAAAGAAUUCUUUUGACACCUAUCCCAAAGUACAGAGACAUAGAUUUCUUCACAUGUUGUAAGUUUUGUAUCAAGGAUAGCUGGUAGAAUUGUGAAUUUUACCUAUCCACAGAAUAUUCUAAAAAAUGAACAAAGUGAAGUAAAAAUUAAGAUCCAAGUGUGACGUAUAUAUUCCUUGAAGAUUGGUUAUAUGUAUCUUUAUGAUUUGUAGAUGUCAUAAGAUGAAUUUGUUGUUCCUGUAACUUUUGCUGUAGCAUUUCUUUUUAUUUUAGUACCUUCUGUAUGUGGUUGCAGUGUUAAAACAAUUGUACUUUAAAUUGAAAAUACGAGCUGUAUAUAUUUUUCUUAUUUAUGUAACAAAGUUUGCUGAGAGAAUACGUAUAUUUUUGAUCUUUGUGUGUAUUUGUAUAAGGACUUUGGCUUACAUUUGAAUAAUGUCUCAAUUUUGAAAAAUUAUUUGUAUAAUGGAGAGUUAAAACUUUGUAGACAUUUUGAAAUAAAAAUUGAUCAAGUA